GCGUUAGUGGUGUAACGGUAACAUUCAACCCUUCCACGAUCUCAGCCGCAAGGUGAAGAUUGCGAGGUUGGGCCCUGGGUUCGACUCCCAGCUAACGCA
rnacentral:tRNA from 1 species